rnacentral:rRNA from 1 species
CUUGGUCAUUUAGAGGAAGUAAAAGUCGUAACAAGGUCUCCGUUGGUGAACCAGCGGAGGGAUCAUUACAGAGUUAUCUAACUCCCAAACCCAUGUGAACUUACCUUUGUUGCCUCGGCAGUAGUUGCUGGGCGAGCCUACCCGGGAAAUCCUGGGACGACUUACCCUGUAACGCCUGCCGGUGGACUACUAAACUCUUGUUAUUUUUAAGUAAUCUGAGCGUCUUAUUUUAAUAAGUCAAAACUUUCAACAACGGAUCUCUUGGUUCUGGCAUCGAUGAAGAACGCAGCGAAAUGCGAUAAGUAAUGUGAAUUGCAGAAUUCAGUGAAUCAUCGAAUCUUUGAACGCACAUUGCGCCCAUUAGUAUUCUAGUGGGCAUGCCUGUUCGAGCGUCAUUUCAACCCUUAAGCCUAGCUUAGUAUUGGGAAUCGACUUUACUGUCGUUCCUCAAAUUCAACGGCGGAUUUAUAGCAAUCUCUGAACGUAGUAAUUUUUUUUCUCGUUUUUGAAAUACUAUAAACCUCAGCCGCUAAACCCCCAAUUUCUUAUGGUUGACCUCGGAUCAGGUAGGAAUACCCGCUGAACUUAAGCAUAUCAAUAAGCGGAGGA